rnacentral:misc_RNA from 1 species
GACCUCACACAGGAGACGAAAGGCACGUGAUAAAAUUCUGGCGCCCACCCGAGGAAUCCGCUUCACCAACACGGCCGCCACACAGACACGCACAACCAACUUCGCGUGGACGCAGGAAUGGGCAAAUCUCGCAUUCCACCGUUGCCCACUCGUCUCUGCAUUCGUUCACCUCUUCACACCAGCGCAGUGGGCUUCUCUUCCUAUUCGCACCUGUCGCUGUCUGCGUGUGCGCUGGCGCAGGGUUGAAGAUGCGCUUGCGUAUUGAGCGUGCGGCACGCACGGAGCAGCGACACAUUGCCGAGAAGGAACUUAGCGCGCGUGUCGAUGAACUCCUGCAGGCCUUAGCUCGCCGCAUACUGGUCUGUGCCCCGACGUGGGCUGUCCAGGCAAGUGCGAGCUCUCAAAAGCUAACCCAUCACGCCAGCGGUGCUGCGGCGCUCUCCUGGGGAGGAUGGGGCGAUGCAGAGUUGGCAGAUGUGCGUUCCACGAUGACGGAGGUUCAGGAGCUGGUGGAUGUACACGUUGCCCGCCCUCGUGACGCUGCAGCAGCUACUCAUGAGGGUGGUGCUGAUGGCAUGAGGGGGUCUUCACUAGCCGCAACCGUGCUGACCAGUGGGGCUUCGGCCGUACCGGCAUCGUCUGUCCGCUUUUACGCAGCUUUUGUGCGCCAACUCAUCGAGCGGAUCUUCGACUCCGUCACGAAGAUCGCCCUUUCCUCUGUGGUGUUCCCUGAUCGCACACAUGGCGCAUCUGGUGCAGCGGAAGACGAUGCGGUCAUCGUGCAAGGUGCUGCCCCGAACGACAUCUCGUCUCUUUUUCCUGCCCAAUCGACGCUGCGCCUUCCCGCGAUCGUCUACAUUGGGUGGCGCUGUGGCUAUAGUCUUCUCACCUCGGUCGGAAGAAUGCUGCGCGUGACGGACGACGAUCGUGCGGCUGGCUGGCUGGACGUCACCUCCGCCGCACUCCGCAGCCUAUUAGAUGGUGCACGUGCUCACGGCUUUGAUCCGUCUGCCGCGGCGGCACCCACCGCGGCAGCCGCUCUUCAUCACUUCGUGGUGCGCACAGAGAUGCAAACACGCUCUUUACAGUGUCUGUGGUGGUGGUGCAGCCUCGUUUUUGAGCAUGGCCACAAGCAUGGCUUGCUGACUACUCCACCGUCAGCACCGUCUGCCGCGACUCCACUGAACACUCCUGAGAGCACGAGAACGUCUCAUAGCAUGACCACGGCCACGGCUGUUACUGCGGCUGGUGCUUGUGGCAGUGCUGGUGGUACCACAAUGCACGCCUCGCUUGCCGAUAGAGAAGACUACAGAACGCUCUGGUACAUUGGCCACGCUGAGGCGGCAUCCUACCUCAGCUCGACGGUUCUACCCACUGUCGCCCACUUCCUCCACGCCGCCCUGGCGAGGUUUGUGUUCUCUGCUGCGUCGCCACAGCAGUACUGGCCAAGUCACGCUGCGGACCUCACAGAGGCUGUUCAGGCCGUUCGCGACGUCACAGAGCAUCUCUUUCCAUCCCCGGCACCGUCCACCAGCGCAUCUCCUUCAGCGAGGUCACCCUCUUCUCACAUUCAGCUCACUGCGGCCACGGCUAGUUUCCUGCGCCACGCGGUGCACGAUGCGCUGCUCCCGCUGGCGGAGCGCGUGCUGGACGACCCGGCGUUGAUGCAAGACCGCAUCGCGCCGACCGCGGAAGCGGCAUCCGUUACGCCAGGAACAGUAGCGCCGACGAGCGCAUACGACGGCUGGGGCAGCAGUUGCGAAGAGGAAUGUGAAGGCGUGGAGGUGAAAGAUGCCGACAGUUGUUGCCCCUCAAGCACUCAGACUGCCGUUACCGCUGCUGCGCCGGCAGAGGCAUCACAGAGCACCCUCACAUACGCACUCGACGCACUGGAGCGCGAGCUUGGUGAUUUGGUGCGUGCUGACAGCGUCUUCAUGACGCUGCGGCGACUUUGAACCCCGCAGUGGUACCCCGAAGCUCUGCCCUUCGGUGAUGAUCAGCUGGGCUCUUCCUCGCGAUGUCUUUUCCGUCUGCCACGCAUUGUGUGCAGCGCCGUGACUUGCAGUUGCUCACCCUGCCCUGCCCCGGCGUCGGUACCCCCGCACGCGUGACUUGUUCCUUCUCGCUCUCUUUACGGGGGUUCGUUGGCGCCCUUCUCGUGUUGUUGUACAGUUUUUUCUCCCGGCGGCCAGAGCCGAGGAGGCGCACCGGCAUUGGGCGCCAGCGCUGAUGCUCGUGCAUCGAAUACACCCCGCGAUGCGCCCUGCCCCCUUGUUGCUGCUGUUCUGCUGCCACGCUGUCACUGGAACUCCCCGCUCGGGUGGCCCUUCCAUUUCAUAGCUGGCGUGCUGGGAUCGGUCCCACCCCAUCGAGUUGCCGCUCGCAUCUCCAUCAUGUGAGACGGGAAAGCCGGAGGGAUGGGUGGCCGCGCAGUCCCGUGCGUGCGCACCAGAGGUACACAUGCAGCCCCUACACACCACCUCGAGGAAAUAAGGCUCGGGGCAAACGGCGCGAUCGCACACACUCGUCAUGUCGGAUGAAUGCGGCUGUACGUAUGCUACGGGUGGCAAGGCCGAUCCUCUACACUGACCCUCUCCUCCCCUCGCCUCUUCUCACCCACGCUGGCGAGGCAGAGGAAGUAUUGAGGUGCUGUGUGUGUGUUAAAGUGCUGUUCUUGGCUGUGUGCCUCUUGUCCAUCGUUUUAUUGCCCCCCUCGCACGUCUGCCGUGGCUUGGCGUCUGCGCCUCUCAGGCGUGCAACAGGCGAAGAGCGUACGAUAUUGUCCGCUUCUCCCUGUUGUGCGCGCGUCUCUCCCGUCACCUACCUUUGUGGGGUGUGGGUGUCUGUCUGCUCGCACCCGAACGGUGUGGGCCCGUGUGAGGUGGCCCACUCGCGAACGUGCGAGCUUGUUACCUGCAGCGUACUUCCACCUCCCUCAU